rnacentral:tRNA from 1 species
GUAGUGCAAUGGACGCGUUGGACUUUUAAUCCAAAGGUUGUGGGUUCGAAUCUCACUUACG